CACACGACUCUCGGCAACGGAUAUCUCGGCUCUCGCAUCGAUGAAGAACGUAGCGAAAUGCGAUACCUGGUGUGAAUUGCAGAAUCUCGCGAACCAUCGAGUCUUUGAACGCAAGUUGCGCCCGAGGCCAUUCGGCCGAGGGCACGCCCGCCUGGGCGUCACGC
rnacentral:rRNA from 1 species